CUGAGUUAGAGAGGAACUUCACCUUGAAGAGGGUAAAAACCUGCACUCGCAAUACCAUGGGACAGCCGCGAUUCAACGCAUUGGCCAUGUUGUCCACCGAAAGCCAGCUGAUUCAGCAGCUACAUGUGACUUAAUUCCCAAAGUCAUCGAAAAGUUUGCCCAGAGGAAGAACCGCCAUGCCACCUCUUAAAGUGAGCCCUCAGCCUUGAUGGUUUGGUUGUGUAUGGCGCCACCAUAUUGGACUCUCCACUUUAAUAACUGAACAAGUCAAAAUGGACCUAGACGUAUUCUAUACCAGGGUCAAAAGACCAAUAACCACAGGCAGUGUUGAGCAACAUACAGUAGAAACAUCAAUACACGAGCUGCCAUCUAUGAUUUCACUGGCAAGGAGGAGACCAUGGGAGAAGAGCAUGAGGCUGGAGGAGAAUUGGGUAAUAAGUUGGUUUUGUGUGUGGGUCUGUGUGUGAGUGUGUGUGGUUUCUCCUACUGAUUACCUCAGCUGCUGAAUCAGUCAAUAUGGCUCCAGAAGGUGGGCUCAACCC
ensembl:lncRNA